rnacentral:tRNA from 1 species
GCCCAUAUAGCUCAGUGGUAGAGCGCGUCCUUGGUAAGGACGAGGUCAUCAGUUCAAUCCUGAUUAUGGGCU